GACGAACGCUGGCGGCGUGCCUAAUACAUGCAAGUCGAACGAGAGCAACCGGUGCUUGCACUGGUCAAUCUAGUGGCGAACGGGUGAGUAACACGUGGGUAACCUGCCCAUCAGAGGGGGAUAACAUCCGGAAACGGAUGCUAAAACCGCAUAGGUCUUCGAACCGCAUGGUUUGAAGAGGAAAAGAGGCGCAAGCUUCUGCUGAUGGAUGGACCCGCGGUGCAUUAGCUAGUUGGUGAGGUAACGGCUCACCAAGGCCGUGAUGCAUAGCCGACCUGAGAGGGUGAUCGGCCACAUUGGGACUGAGACACGGCCCAAACUCCUACGGGAGGCAGCAGUAGGGAAUCUUCCGCAAUGGACGCAAGUCUGACGGAGCAACGCCGCGUGAGUGAAGAAGGUUUUCGGAUCGUAAAACCCUGUUGUUAGAGAAGAACAAGUGCUAGAGUAACUGUUAGCGCCUUGACGGUAUCUAACCAGAAAGCCACGGCUAACUACGUG
rnacentral:rRNA from 1 species